UUCAUAAUAAGAUGGCAGAUGCUUUGAGUAGACAAGCAGCUUUAUUGGUGACCAUGUAGCAGGAGAUUGUUGGCUUUGAUUGCUCGAAAGAGCAGUGUAUAGAUGAUGAGAUUUUGGAGAAAUCAGGCACAUGCGCAUUCAGAAAUAUCUCGCUGAAGAUUUCCACAUAUAUGAGGGUUUCCUGAUGUGAUUGUAAUCAGUUAUGUAUUUUCUGGUCUUUCUUGCAGGAGAAACUUAUUCGUGAUUUGCAUGAAGGCAGCUUAGCAGAUCACUUGGGGUG
rnacentral:lncRNA from 1 species